rnacentral:rRNA from 1 species
GAUGAACGCUAGCGGCAGGCUUAACACAUGCAAGUCGAGGGGCAGCAUGACACGGAGAUUCGUCGAAGUGUCGAUGGCGACCGGCGCAAGGGUGCGUAACGCGUGAGCAACUUGCCCGUUUCUGGGGAAUAACCGUUGGAAACGACGACUAAUACCCCAUAGUAUCAUGAUGAGGCAUCUUAUUGUGAUUAAAGAAUUUCGGAAACGGAUAGGCUCGCGUGACAUUAGCUAGAUGGCGGGGUAACGGCCCACCAUGGCGACGAUCAGUAGCCGGUCUGAGAGGAUGAACGGCCACAUUGGGACUGAGAUACGGCCCAGACUCCUACGGGAGGCAGCAGUGGGGAAUAUUGGGCAAUGGGGGAAACCCUGACCCAGCAACGCCGCGUGAAGGAAGAAGGCCUCGGUUGUAACUACUUUAGCUAGGACGAAGAACGUAGACGGUACCU